rnacentral:rRNA from 1 species
CACGUAGGGGGCGAGCGUUGUCCGGAUUUAUUGGGCGUAAAGAGCUCGUAGGCGGCUCGGUAAGUCGGGUGUGAAACCUCCAGGCUCAACCUGGAGACACCACUCGAUACUGCCGUGGCUAGAGUCCGGUAGAGGAGCGUAGAAUUCCUGGUGUAGCGGUGAAAUGCGCAGAUAUCAGGAGGAACACCAAUUGCGAAGGCAGCUCGCUGGGACGUUACUGACGCUGAGACGCGAAAGCGUGGGGAGCAAACAGG